GCUCAGUCGCUCCCGCCUCAUCACGAAGCGCGGACCGCCUCGCUGCCGCCAUGCGACCACUCAGCGCUGCGAUCCCGCCCGCCUCCAUUUUCUCUGGGCUCCUGCGCCACCGCCCCCGCCGCUCUCGGCCCGCCCUUGCCCGCGGGCUGGCAGGGCUGGGAGGUGCCCGGCAGAGGGACCCCGGCUGGCGAGGCGCAGAGCCUUCUCCGCCGUGAGGGGCAUCUCGGACAUCUUCACGCGUGUUCGCCUCCAGGUGUGUUCGCUUGGAGGGCCGUGCGUGGAAACACAAACCGGGAGAGUUCGCGGCUCUCCUCCCUUGUUAUCACGAGGUUUUUUUUUAAAACCUUGGGCUCUCUGAGGGGCGCGGUGGGCGCAGGGCUUCGCCUGCCCGCAAGCCCCUCUGGAGGUUCUAGCGCUUGUGCCGCUCCUGGUCCCGUGUGACGCGCAGGGGCGGCGGCUGUGUAAGAUGGCGAGGCUGCCUGGCGGUGUGCAGGGACCGCCCGCUCCCCCCUCGGGGCUCCUGCCCCCGGAGCUAGCAGAAACUCCCCACACUGCGAGCAUCCGCCGCCUGCCGCUCUGUCCUUUCCCUGACGAGUAACUGAGCACCUAACAUUCCCGGCCUCCGGAGUGUAUUCCAAAGACAAGGCUGCUGACACCAUGCUAACCCUUUUAAGAAGCUCAUACCGAUUGUUUAAAAAUACUUGCGUUGCACCCGUGUCACGAUUACACGGUAAGCUUGUCCGUAGCUGAGGGAGAAGCCCGGCGCCUCCUGCCCGCAUGGAAAGGGUGCCGAGAGGAAUCUCCCACCUGGGCACCCCGCGGGCCGGCGCUGUCCACGCCCCCGCCUCGGCCGAACUGCGGGACCACCCCAUCAAAAAGCGCUUCCUGCCAAAACCGCCUCUCCUGGGAGCGGCUGGAAGAAGUAUGAAGGGACUAUGUGGCAAGGCAGAGGUAGGAAGAGAGAAGAGGGACACAGAAGGAGGAAACAGACUUCUUCUCCAAAUUUGCCAAGUCCACACCUGCGGGAUCUCGGAGAACUGGCUCACUUCCUAUAUUCCUCUUGUCUCUCUGUUUCUGACACAAGCGAAAUCCCACUUCUGA
rnacentral:lncRNA from 1 species